AACGAACGCUGGCGGCAUGCCUAACACAUGCAAGUCGAACGAGACCUUCGGGUCUAGUGGCGCACGGGUGCGUAACGCGUGGGAACCUGCCCUUAGGUUCGGAAUAACUCCCCGAAAGGGGUGCUAAUACCGGAUAAUUUCUUCGGACCAAAGAUUUAUCGCCUUUGGAUGGGCCCGCGUUGGUUUAGCUAGUUGGUAGGGUAAAAGCCUACCAAGGCGACGAUCCAUAGCUGGUCUGAGAGGAUGAUCAGCCACACUGGGACUGAGACACGGCCCAGACUCCUACGGGAGGCAGCAGUGGGGAAUAUUGGACAAUGGGCGAAAGCCUGAUCCAGCAAUGCCGCGUGAGUGAUGAAGGCCUUAGGGUUGUAAAGCUCUUUUACCCGGGAUGAUAAUGACAGUACCGGGAGAAUAAGCUCCGGCUAACUCCGUG
rnacentral:rRNA from 1 species